UUUAGCCAUGAUACAUCAAGCAAGUUCUUCCCUCGCUGGUAACUACAAAACUGCAGACAGAGACCUGAUGCCACUUGCUAAGGUUUUAAUGGAGGAAGUUGGAAGCCCCAUAGAAGGAAGAUUCUCCGGCCUGGAAGAUGAAUCCUGAUGAUGAAAGGCUGUGUUAAAUAGAUUGGCUUCGGAUGACCACCUGCCUGAUGUAUGGAGAUAAAAAUUCC
ensembl:lncRNA